rnacentral:rRNA from 1 species
UACGUAGGGGGCUAGCGUUGUCCGGAAUCAUUGGGCGUAAAGCGCGUGUAGGCGGCCCGGUAAGUCCGCUGUGAAAGUCGGGGGCUCAACCCUCGAAUGCCGGUGGAUACUGUCGGGCUAGAGUGCGGAAGAGGCGAGUGGAAUUCCUGGUGUAGCGGUGAAAUGCGCAGAUAUCAGGAGGAACACCGAUUGCGAAGGCAGCUCGCUGGGACGUUACUGACGCUGAGACGCGAAAGCGUGGGGAGGCAAACAGG